ACGGAAGGCAGCAGUAGGGAAUAUUGCACAAUGGGGGAAACCCUGAUGCAGCAACGCCACGUGUGGGAAGAAGCAUUUCGGUGUGUAAACCACUGUCGUGAGGGAAUAAUGUUGCGUUUCGGCGCAAUUGAAUGUACCUCGAAAGGAAGCACCGGCAAACUUCGUGCCAGCAGCCGCGGUAAUACGAGGGGUGCAAGCGUUGUUCGGAAUCACUGGGCGUAAAGGGAGCGUAGGCGGAGGAGCAAGCAGUCUGUACAAUCCCGGGGCCUAACCCCGGCUCUGCAGACUGGACUGCACCUCUUGGAUAGUUCAGGGGCAAGCGGAAUUCCUGGUGUAGCGGUGGAAUGCGUAGAGAUCAGGAAGAACACCGAUGGCGAAGGCAGCUUGCUGGGGACUUAUCGACGCUCAUGCUCGAAAGUGCGGGUAGCAAACAGGAUUAGAUACCCUGGUA
rnacentral:rRNA from 1 species